GAUGAACGCUGGCGGCGUGCCUAAUACAUGCAAGUCGAGCGAAUGGAUUAAGAGCUUGCUCUUGUGAAGUUAGCGGCGGACGGGUGAGUAACACGUGGGUAACCUGCCCAUAAGACUGGGAUAACUCCGGGGAACCGGGGCUAAUACCGGAUAACAUUUUGAACCGCAUGGUUCGAAAUUGAAAGGCGGCUUCGGCUGUCACUUAUGGAUGGACCCGCGUCGCAUUAGCUAGUUGGUGAGGUAACGGCUCACCAAGGCAACGAUGCGUAGCCGACCUGGGAGGGUGAUCGGCAACACUGGGACUGAGACACGGCCCAGACUCCUACGGGAGGCAGCAGUAGGGAAUCUUCCGCAAUGGACGAAAGUCUGACGGAGCUACGCCGCGUGAGUGAUGAAGGCAUUCGGGUCGUAAAACUCUGUUGUUAGGGAAGAACAAGUGCUAGUUGAAUAAGCUGGCACCUUGACGGUACCUAACCAGAAAGCCACGGCUAACUACGUGCCAGCCGCCGCCGUAA
rnacentral:rRNA from 1 species